CGACUCUUGACAACGGAUAUCUCGGUUCUCGCAUCGAUGAAGAACGUAGCGAAAUGCGAUACUUGGUGUGAAUUGCAGAAUCCCGUGAACCAUCGAGUCUUUGAACGCAAGUUGCGCCCGAAGCCAUUAGGCUGAGGGCACGUCUGCCUGGGUGUCACGCAU
rnacentral:rRNA from 1 species